GACGAACGCUGGCGGCGUGCUUAACACAUGCAAGUCGAACGGAAAGGCCCUGCUUUUGUGGGGUGCUCGAGUGGCGAACGGGUGAGUAACACGUGAGUAACCUGCCCUUGACUUUGGGAUAACUUCAGGAAACUGGGGCUAAUACCAGAUAGGAGCUCCUGCUGCAUGGUGGGGGUUGGAAAGUUUCGGCGGUUGGGGAUGGACUCGCGGCUUAUCAGCUUGUUGGUGGGGUAGUGGCUUACCAAGGCUUUGACGGGUAGCCGGCCUGAGAGGGUGACCGGCCACAUUGGGACUGAGAUACGGCCCAGACUCCUACGGGAGGCAGGAGUGGGGAAUAUUGCACAAUGGGCGGAAGCCUGAUGCAGCAACGCCGCGUGCGGGAUGACGGCCUUCGGGUUGUAAACCGCUUUCGCCUGUGACGAAGCGUGAGUGACGGUAAUGGGUAAAGAAGCACCGGCUAACUACGUG
rnacentral:rRNA from 1 species